rfam:Loxodonta africana unplaced genomic scaffold scaffold_9, whole genome shotgun sequence.
GCAGUGGUGGUUCAGUGGUAGAAUUCUCACCUUCCAUGAGGGAGACCCAGGCUUGAUUCUCGGCCAGUGUA